GCUUGCCUUGUCCUCGGAUAUCCUGCCACUAACAGCAUUCUUACAAAGACCAUCUCCGGGUUGGACAUACAGGUGCAUUGGACUACUGGUACUCUCACAAGGGUUAUGUUGACUAUCUACAUCCAUCACCCCUUUAUUUAGUAUUGUUUGGAAGUGCUUUACCCACCCUCUUCACUGAUUUGGUCCACUACAGGCUGUCUUCUGUAUCUCCUCAUCACUUCCCAGAACCCCUUUGGUGGAUACAAUGCUGCGAUUCUUUAUAUUUCUACUCUCACUCUCUCCUUUCGUGUUGACGGAGGAGACGAGCAAGUAAGGUGUUGACUGUUCUUGGCUCUUGGCUUA